rnacentral:lncRNA from 1 species
CUGGCCUAAGGAGCUGUGGGUUUGAUGCCUCUUCCCUGCCUCCUGCAUUCAAAAGGAGUAUAUGUUACCUAGGUAUCACCUGGCCACUUGUGACCCUAACAGAAGCAAUGAAUAAAUCUGGAAGCAAAAACAAACAGAGAAACCAGAGAAGAAGGACCUUGGAUAUGAAGAGUCAGCCUGCCUUCCCAGCACGCAAGUUAUUAGGUCCUGUGUGGUGCUUUCAGAUCCUUUGUGGUGUAAUCAGGCAGGGUGAAAUCCAAAUCCUCAUAUGGCACUAUUUGAAGUGAGAAUGGAAGGCAGAUGGGUGGAUUUGAAGAUUUGAAAGGGUGGAUGGUCUGAUACAGGUGCUGCCCUGGUCUUUGCUCUUGCAGUGGUGUGCCCUUUCCUAUGCAAAGCCAUCAUUGUCUGCUGACUUGCAGAGCAGUGGGUCACAUUGUGCAGCGAUUGGUAUUUGUUUAAGAGAAAUCUCCCCGACUGACCCAAUUCCUGUAAUGCAUAAAAAAAAAUGACAGAAGUAAUACUUUUGUUCUUGUUUCACUUUCAUUCAUCUUAUUUGAUCAGG